ACACGACUACAUUAGAUACCCCUGUAGUCCCAGCCCUAAACAAUGCGCGUUAGGUGUAUCGGUGACCACGAGUCACCGAGGUGCCGAAGGGAAACCGUGAAACGUGCCGCCUGGGAAGUACGGUCGCAAGGCUGAAACUUAAAGGAAUUGGCGGGGGAGCACCACAACGGGUGGAGCUUGCGGUUUAAUUGGAUUCAACGCCGGAAAUCUUACCGGGACCGACAGCAACAUGAAGGCCAGGCUGAAGACUUUGCCGGAUUAGCUG
rnacentral:rRNA from 1 species